rnacentral:misc_RNA from 1 species
GAUUUUGUCUCUUGACAAAGAGUUAUACCAUGGAGGCCCUAAAUGCAGCAGGUUUGACCCCAAUAUCGGUUCUUUGUGAAAAAAGAACAGAACCCAGAAAAUUUUUAUGCCUCCCUGCUACUUCAUCACUCAAAUUCUCAAACUCUGCUUCUCUAAGCUUCACCCCACAUACUAAUACCAUACAAGAGUGCUUAUCAAGGACUUUUCAUGGGGGUCUAGUAGCCUUAUCUUCAGUUCUUAGCACUGGGUUAGCUAAAGCUUUAACAUAUAAGGAAGCACUACAACAGUCAACGAGCACCCCCGCAUCGGAUUUUGAUGCCAGUGGAGUUCUUGAUAAUGUUAUCAGUUUUGCAACUGAAAACCCAACUGUUAUAGGAGGUGGUGCUGCAAUUUUGGCAGUUCCAUUGGUUUUGUCUCAGAUUCUAAAGAAGCCCAAGCCAUGGGGUGUUGAGUCUGCAAGAAAAGCUUAUGCAGUAUUGGGAGAUGAUGCAAAUGCUCAGUUACUUGAUAUAAGAGCGCCAGUGGAGUUGAAAAAAAUGGGUACUCCUGAUAUCAGGGGUUUCAAAAAGAAGCCAGUGUCAAUUGCUUACAAAGGUGAUGAUAAGCCAGGUUUCUUGAAGAAGCUGUCUUUGAAGUUUAAGGAACCAGAAAAUACUACAUUGUUCAUUCUAGAUAAAUUCAAUGGGAACUCUGAACUGGUUGCAGAGUUGGUCACUGUAAACGGAUUUAAAGCUGCUUAUGCUAUAAAAGAUGGUGCAGAUGGACCACAGGGAUGGAUGAAUACUAGCGUUCCUUGGAUACCUCCAAGUAAAGGGUUGAGUCUUGAUCUUAGCAAUUUGACAGAUACUCUCAGCAAUGCACUUGGGGAGGGCUCGGAUGCCUUGCCUCUGACCAUUGGGAUUGCAGCAGCUGCUGGCUUAGGUGUGUUAGCAUUUUCAGAGAUAGAAACAAUUCUCCAAGUAUUAGGCUCAGCUGCAAUUGUUCAGUUUGUGAGUCAGAAACUCCUGUUUGCAGAGGAACGUAAGAAAACUCUGCAGCAGGUUGAUGAAUUCUUGAACACCAUGGUUGCCCCUAAAGAGCUUGUUGGUGAUAUAAAGCAAAUUGGGAAGGCUCUUCUACCAACAGUGGGGCCAAGUAAGGCACUCCCUCGACCUGUGGAACCAAGUUCAGAAUCUGCUGCUGCUGAUAGUACUAUACAGAAGUCAGAACCUGCUUCAGAGCCAGCUCCACAAAUAAAUUCAGUUGAAGCAGAAUCAGUUUCUGGGUUUCCAAGUCCCCUUUCGCCAUAUGCAUCUUAUCCAGAUUUCAAGCCCCCAACAUCUCCUACUCCAUCACAGCCCUAAAGUU